rnacentral:rRNA from 1 species
UACGUAGGGAGCAAGCGUUGUCCGGAAUCAUUGGGCGUAAAGCGCGCGUAGGCGGCCCUGUAAGUCCGCUGUGAAAGUCAAAGGCUCAACCUUUGAAAGCCGGUGGAUACUGCAGGGCUAGAGUCCGGAAGAGGCGAGUGGAAUUCCUGGUGUAGCGGUGGAAUGCGCAGAUAUCAGGAGGAGCACCAAUAGCGAAGGCAGCUCGCUGGGACGGUACUGACGCUAAGGCGCGAAAGCGUGGGGAGCGAACAGG